AGUGAACGCUGGCGGUAGGCCUAACACAUGCAAGUCGAACGGCAGCACAGUAAGAGCUUGCUCUUACGGGUGGCGAGUGGCGGACGGGUGAGGAAUACAUCGGAAUCUACUUUUUCGUGGGGGAUAACGUAGGGAAACUUACGCUAAUACCGCAUACGACCUACGGGUGAAAGCAGGGGAUCUUCGGACCUUGCGCGAUUGAAUGAGCCGAUGUCGGAUUAGCUAGUUGGCGGGGUAAAGGCCCACCAAGGCGACGAUUCGUAGCUGGUCUGAGAGGAUGAUCGCCCACACUGGAGCGUGGACACGGUCCAGACUCCUACGGGAGGCAGCAGUGGGGAAUAUUGGACAAUGGGCGCAAGCCUGAUCCAGCCAUACCGCGUGGGUGAAGAAGGCCUUCGGGUUGUAAAGCCCUUUUGUUGGGAAAGAAAAGCAGCAGGUUAAUACCCCGCUGUUCUGACGGUACCCAAAGAAUAAGCACCGGCUAACUUCGUG
rnacentral:rRNA from 1 species